rnacentral:lncRNA from 1 species
GUUUGGUGGUGUGCCUGUAGUCCCAGCUACUCGGGAGGCUGAGGCAGGAGAAUCACUUGAACCUGGGAGGCAGAGGUUGCAGUGACCCGAGAUCACACCACUGCACUCCAGCCUAGGCGACAGAGCAAGACUCCAUCUCAAAAAAAAAAAAAGAAAAAUAAUAAAACCAGCUGAAAUUCCAGAAUAAAUGGUAACUACCAUCAGGAAAAAGAAGAACUGAUUGAAGAGUGGCAACCAGAACCUCUUGUUCCUCCUGUCCCAAAAGACCAUCCUGCUCUCAACUACAACAUCGUUUCAGGGCAAUAUGAUAAAAUUGAAAAAUUUCACAAAUGUCAGGAGAACAAGAUCUGGUGUCUGGGUUUCAACUCUUAGAGCUUCCCAGCUCGUAGCUAUGCUCCUGAAUUCCUCUGGCAGCCCUCCUCAAGGACCUCUGUGAGACAAAGUCAGAAAUGACUUCACUGGAGACCAAGAGAGCCCACAGAGCUCUUCCUGCUGCUUCUUCUACCCUUGUACUCACUCGGCUCUCUAAAUUUGUCUCAGCUCCAGACACGUGGGAAGAUUACCUUUCUCUGAUGUCUUGGGAUUGAACUGAGCUAUGUGGCUAGUUACAGGCCAAUAGGCUGUUAGCAGAUGUGACAUCUAACACAACUAGGCUGCAGUUUGAAAUAAAUACCAGUGCACAGCCUCCAGAAUUCCUCCCCUGCUAAGGUGACUGAGAAGACCUCAGCUGAGAUGGUGGGAAAAAAAAAUAUUCAAGCAGCUUGGAUAACGAAGUUCCUAAAUGGAAGAACAUUGUCCCAGAGAGUCACUUGAACCCAGAAUAGAUUUACGUGAUCAGACAAUAAACCUCUAUGACACCCUGAGUUUAUUUUGUUUUUUGAUUUUGUUACUGCAGCAUAACUCAACAUACCCUGACUGGUAUAGUCAUGGAGAUUAUCAUCAGGAUCUCCUAUGCUCCUGCAUAUGACACAGCCAGAGUUCUGCAGACAUUUAACUUUGGGCAUCUAAAUAUCAUAAAUGC